CACCUCCAGGCUGGUGGUUCUGAUAACAUCUGUGUCGGGCUGCAGAAAUUCCUCUCCCUCCUGAGGCCGCCUGUGUUCGGGGGUGUUAACACGCCGUGUAAUCACGCCGCGGCUGUGAAUGUCGUUAGCCGUCCUCUGGGCUGCUGAAGGAAGUGGAGCGUGCAGAGUUCUCUGCUUUUCAUUCAUGAUUUCCCUCUGAAGUCUUCAUCAAAGAGAAUCGGCACAGCGGUGCAGCGAAGCCGCCCAGGUAUCCGACAACAUGAAACAGCUAUGAUCGCUCGCUAAUGAGUUGUGGAAGCUAGUCGUGCGUUUUCCUCCACUUUAGUUUGUCAAGGUAACGCUGCUGAGCGGCGCCACGAGCGAUGACCUGGCAAUCGGUCGUCCUUUCCUUCCCUCACACCCGCUCCCAGACUUCCCCUCUCAUAACCAAGCAACCUUCUCUGUUGGCCCAAGAUUUAUGAUGCAGCAGAGCCGUUCUCCUUGAGGUCCAAAGGGAGAAGCGGUGGAAAGGGCGCUCUAGCAAGCCGUCCUCUGACGCACCACCCACACGCUCCAAAGCGGUAUAAAUCACAGAAACUCUUCUGCCCUUUCUCAUCGCCGCCAUUUGUCUUCAUCUUUGCUCAAUUAGAAAGAAUAAUGGUCGGGGGAACGGCGUCCAAGUUGACACUCGGUUACGGAGAGCGCAGGGCUGUGGCCUGAAAUGACAGAGCGGGGACCCUCGUUUACCUCUGACAAAUGGAGAUGAUUCUCUAUCAGGCACCUGCUCCUGACCAGGAGGUGCAGCAAUGCUAUGCUGAAAAACUAAUGAGAGCUGAAUGGAUUUAUUGAUCCAACUUGUGUCUGCUGAAAAAGGCAACCAUGACAUCAGAAAUAGAAACGUCCUUUUGCUCGGCGUGAGAGUGGGCAGGCAUCCCUGAGAUCACUCAGCUGUGCACGAAGCCACAGUUUCCCCUGAAUGGAGGACGGGUACGGAGAAUGACCAGAGCUUCAUCUGUCAAACUGAGCGCCACAUCUGAAGGACGGCCCAAGGCGAAGCCUUUGACGGCGUCUCUCCUUUGAAAACUGCAGCUGAAAUGUAAAUGAGGUGGUCAAAGAAAGCCUGUUAUGAAAAUGGAAAGACGUUCAGUGAAAGGAACACUUUUAGAAGUCUGUUUCUUUGUGAUGGCAUCUGGGGGUAUUUUAUUAUGACAUUACCCACCUUAAAUACAGAUUUGGAAUUCAUCGGCCCGUCUGGCUGAACGUCAGAGAUGAACGACAAGCUGCUGAGUCCAAUAAAAAAAACUGAAACCCUUCGUCUCCCAUCAACUGAAAUUUAUAUCCAGUCCUGACGCUGAGCAGUGUGUGGCAAGUACAUGAUGCAAUGAAGGACACUUCACUGAAAAGAAAAUUGGAUUUCUGCGGAUGAAUGACUGCAGGCUCCGAGAGCAGCCGCUCUGCCUUUUUCAGACAUGUUAAUGGCGGGAAUCCAGAAAUGUGAAGUCGGCAUGUUCAGUGGUCAGUCAGAGGCAGUCAUGACUCACUGACUCAAAUCCUCCCCACUUUGGUGAUUAAAUCACACACAGCGAGCUGAGGUUUGUGUUUUUGAGUGAGUCAUCCACUGCAGGGAAGCAGAUGGAUUUUCCCACCAUCGUCCCCUCUAAACGAUUCCUUCAAAUACUUUAAAAUAUUGUUUUUAUUUUGGUUAAGACA